rnacentral:rRNA from 1 species
GAUGAACGCUGGCGGCGUGCCUAAUACAUGCAAGUCGAGCGAACAGACGAGGAGCUUGCUCCUCUGACGUUAGUGGCGGACGGGUGAGUAACACGUGGAUAACCUACCUAUAAGACUGGGAUAACUUCGGGAAACCGGAGCUAAUACCGGAUAACAUGUUGAACCGCAUGGUUCAACAGUGAAAGACGGUCUUGCUGUCACUUAUAGAUGGAUCCGCGCCGCAUUAGCUAGUUGGUAAGGUAACGGCUUACCAAGGCAACGAUGCGUAGCCGACCUGAGAGGGUGAUCGGCCACACUGGAACUGAGACACGGUCCAGACUCCUACGGGAGGCAGCAGUAGGGAAUCUUCCGCAAUGGGCGAAAGCCUGACGGAGCAACGCCGCGUGAGUGAAGAAGGUCUUCGGAUCGUAAAACUCUGUUAUUAGGGAAGAACAAAUGUGUAAGUAACUAUGCACGUCUUGACGGUACCUAAUCAGAAAGCCACGGCUAACUACGUG